UACAGGGGGGGCAAGCGUUGUUCGGAAUUACUGGGCGUAAAGGGUCUGUAGGUGGCCAACUAAGUCAGACGUGAAAUCCCUCAGCUUAACUGGGGAACUGCGUCUGAUACUGGAUGGCUUGAGUGCAGGAGAGGAAUGCGGAAUUCCAGGUGUAGCGGUGAAAUGCGUAGAUAUCUGGAGGAACACCGGUGGCGAAGGCGGCAUUCUGGACUGUAACUGACACUGAGGCACGAAAGCUAGGGGAGCAAACAGG
rnacentral:rRNA from 1 species